UGUGAUAAAUGGCAUGCUGAGACUGGCUGCUCCCGGUUCCAUCAAGAUGCCACUUGGAAUCUCUUCCUUGACGUCAGAGUCGUCCUCUGAAAAGAUUUAGGCGGAUACUGUGAACCUGAAACACCAACCACAAAGUGGAGAAAACUGACCUGUCAACAGACUCUGACUUGUCCAUGUGUGGCCAGCAAAUUCCAUCAGGGUCAGUGAACCUUUUCGAGGAGUAUCUAACUGUCAGAAGAAAAAUAAAAUGAGGGGAACAGAUCGAGAUCCAGGAACUGCCACAUUCUGCCCACCAGUCUCUGAGCCUAUGGGGGGUAACCUGCUUCUUGAAGCCUGAGCCGGUGGGGAGGACCCCCGGUCUAUGCCAGUUUGCCUGUAAACACAACAACAUGU